rnacentral:rRNA from 1 species
AACGAACGCUGGCGGCAGGCUUAACACAUGCAAGUCGAACGGGAUCUUCGGAUCUAGUGGCAGACGGGUGAGGAACACGUGGGAACAUCCCUUUCAGUUCGGAAUAACGUUGGGAAACUAACGCUAAUACCGGAUACGUCCUUCGGGAGAAAGAUUUAUCGCUGAAAGAUUGGCCCGCGUCUGAUUAGCUAGUCGGUGAGGUAACGGCUCACCAAGGCUACGAUCAGUAGCUGAUCUGAGAGGAUGAUCAGCCACAUUGGGACUGAGACACGGCCCAAACUCCUACGGGAGGCAGCAGUGGGGAAUAUUGGACAAUGGGCGCAAGCUUGAUCCAGCCAUGCCGCGUGAGUGAUGACGGCCUUCGGGUUGUAAAGCUCUUUUGUCCGGGAAGAUAAUGACUGUACCGGAAGAAUAAGCCCCGGCAAACUUCGUGCCAGCAGCCGCCGUAA